GUGAACGCUGGCGGUAGGCCUAACACAUGCAAGUCGAACGGCAGCACAGUAAGAGCUUGCUCUUACGGGUGGCGAGUGGCGGACGGGUGAGGAAUACAUCGGAAUCUACUUUUUCGUGGGGGAUAACGUAGGGAAACUUACGCUAAUACCGCAUACGACCUACGGGUGAAAGCAGGGGAUCUUCGGACCUUGCGCGAUUGAAUGAGCCGAUGUCGGAUUAGCUAGUUGGCGGGGUAAAGGCCCACCAAGGCGACGAUCCGUAGCUGGUCUGAGAGGAUGAUCAGCAACACUGGAACUGAGACACGGUCCAGACUCCUACGGGAGGCAGCAGUGGGGAAUAUUGGACAAUGGGCGCAAGCCUGAUCCAGCCAUACCACGUGGGUGAAGAAGGCCUUCGGGUUGUAAAGCCCUUUUGUUGGGAAAGAAAAGCAGCAGGUUAAUACCCCGCUGUUCUGACGGUACCCAAAGAAUAAGCACCGGCUAACUUCGUG
rnacentral:rRNA from 1 species